AACUAUGCUAAUUUCUUGUAAACAGAAAUGAAACUUCUUUCUUUUCUUCCCUGACUCAUCCAUUCACAAUUUGGAAACUCUCAUUGAAUCUUCCUGGCAAUAUGGUUAUUUGCAUAGAUUCCAUAAGAGUCUGUCCUCUUUGUUAACAGGGCACAAAAACAUUGGUAAUACAACCAAGGCUUUGCCUGGAUGUCACAUUUGAGAAUGACGUUUAUUUGAUCAGAUAUGACCAGACACUUUUAGGAACUAAGGUUGACAUUAUGGGGCCGAUGCUUACAAAGCUCCUCUUGUGAAAACUGGCUUGAAACCUGGUUUUGCAGGGUUCGCAGCUUUGUAGGUGAGCAAGGAAUAUCACUUCCCAGCAGGCUCUGGAAUCUUAGGAUAUUUGUGGGAUCUCAUGAAGAAAGGAAUGCCUGCCAAAUCGAUAGGUACUGCAUGCGUAAUCUGAUGUGAGUUGUUGGCUUGGCUUCUUAUCCUCAAGAGGCUUUGAAAAGUCCAAUUUGACAUUCUUUAUGAAAACUUCCAGCAAAGCAACUAUAAUAUGAUCUAUAUGUAAAUUGCCACUCUUGCUGCACCUAUGCAAAUAACCAGGCCGAAUCUCAUGAGACCAACUUUAAUUUGUGAUCAAGAAUAAUCUUUCUUUGAGAUUGUCUUUGAUCAAAACAGGAGGAGUAACUGUAGAAAGAAAAUUUGUGUUUCCAUGGGAAAUCACAGCACAUCCUUCUGGAUUAUCAGAUUCUGAUCCUGUUAAUUUGUGUUUGAGCUAUUUAGUGCCACUUUGUAAACUGCUAGUAACUCAUCAAUAUGCAAACUUUGUAGCCAAGCUUUCUCUAUCAUUGUGGAAACUUCUGCUUGGUAUUUACCUUGCACAGAUUGUUAACCUGGCACAGAUUGUCAACCUUUACUAAAUUUUCAAUUAUUCCAGUUUCCUUCAGCAUCUGGCUACAAACUAACAGCCUUAAAAACGAUUCUAUUUUUAUUUCUUCCUCUAAACUUGUAGUCACUGAGAACUAAAAUCUGACUGCCUAGAUACUUAUUAGGACUCUAGGUUGCCCUGUUGCUGGUCUUUAUCCCCUAGGAUUUGAAGAAUCACUGCAAGUUCAAGUCUGAGGAUUUGUUAUAAGCCUAGAAGAACUUAUUACCAUUCCAGCUAAACAUUCAUGGUCCAACUAUCUCUUUGGAUAAGCCACUUUUUGGACUGCUUAGAAAGUUUGGCAAAAUGCUCAGGUCAUGCACGCCCUUAUUGGAGAAGUAACCAACACUGUGGACAUCAUUACUAAUAUGAUCAACAUCUUGUCUUCAAAAACUCAUUUUCUUUGAAAUUCCAUCAAGAUAAGAUCUGCUCUGCCUAUCACCACAGACCCUAGCCUUCAACUGGGGCAGAACCCCUUGUGCCUUAUUGUUUGCCACUUAUCAAGUCCACAGUGAUGUUGUCGAGUCAGCACCAGGUCUGAACUCCACUCUCUUUGUGAGAUGACUAUAAAUGUUGGAACUUAUGGAAAGAGAGACCACUUAAAGGAAAUACUCAAGCAGAUCAUUAUGCUCAACAAGCUAAACCCUCAAAGGAUAAAUCUCUGGUGAAACUGUGAAAACGAAGAGUGGAAAAAUUCUAGUUGUACUCUUCAUUGAUAUAAUCUCUGAAAUGCUCAAGGUGGUUGCUUAUGGCACCAGAUCAUUUCAAGUGGAUAUUAACUAAAUUUCUUCAUGAAACUACUCAUCAUGGAAUAUAA